rnacentral:rRNA from 1 species
AAAGUGAAGAGUUUGAUCCUGGCUCAGAACGAACGCUGGCGGCGUGGCUAAGGCAUGCAAGUCGAACGGACCCUUUCAAGGAGUAAUCCGAGAAUUGGUUAGUGGCGAACGGGUGAGGAAUACUUGGAUAACGUACCCCGAACUCAGGGAUAGCGGCGGGCUUCGGCCCUUUGCGAAAGUGCCGGUAAUACCUGAUGACCCCGCGUGAUCGCAUGAUCAUGCGGGCAAAGCUCCGACGGUUUGGGAUCGGUUCAAGUCCUAUCAGCUUGUUGGUGGGGUAACGGCCUACCAAGGCAUCGACGGGUACCGGGCGUGAGAGCGUGACCCGGCACAUCGGAACUGAGACACUGUCCGG